ensembl:lncRNA
CCCAGUGGGUUCAGGCAGUGUUUCUACACAACGGGUCCAUGGAAGCCCAAUUUGAGAGAUGAUCUGUAAGAACAGAGGCCACGGUUAGAUUUGUUUAGUGAAUGCAGCACAUUCCUCCUCUUUUUACAGACCCACAGCACUAAGGUACUGAGCAGUUGUGCUGCAAAGUCAGCAGUUUAACCACAUUGAAUUAUUUUUGCUUGUUUGUUUGUUUCAGUAAGAUCUGUUUCACAUCCCAAGGAACUAGUGUGUCCACAGGGCACACCCAGAACACAAGAGAGUGCUAGUUAUUUAGGUGUCUGUCUUUCAAGGAGGCAAUCUAUGAUGGUCUGGAACAUGUUUCUUCCUCUGUCAAAAAAGAAAAAGAAAGAAACAAAAAUCUGUAUUUUACAAGAAUUACCGCUUUAAAACAAAAGGACAAAAUUCCAAUGGUGGACGGUUAGGUACCAGUCAGCCACGUGGGAAGGGGAAGGAAUCUGCCAUAAAAGCUCUUUUGCCCUCUGUCCUUGACUGUAGAUGUGGCCUUUUAACAAGUGACUUUUCUGGGCCCCCUGUUCCUGUUUUGUAAACAGUCACAAGGAUCAAACGAGUUACUCGUGACUAGCUCUUAUUGUCGCAAACAUACAAAUUUAGUGAUUUCCUUUUCCACUCACAUGAUAAGCUUGAUAGGCUUAUAACUUAGUAAAAUAGCCCUUUGUGUGACAUAAUUUUGGAACAGAGAACGUUUACAAAGGGAGGAUUCAUCUGAGUCUGGGUUGCUGCUAGGAAGACUUUCUGGAGGAGUGGAAAGUCAGAGUCCGCUCCCAGGAAGACUGCUGCUGACCGGAGGCAAGCCGACCACUGGGAGCUGGCAGCUCUGCUCUGUCUGCUGAAAAAGAGAACCAUCUCCAAGUCGUGGAGACCUCAGAAACCCUGGGAAGAGCCUGCUGAGCUGGCUGUUUCUCCCACCAGCCCCGCAGAAGGUCAUGCCCAGGAUACAGAGAAAAAAAUCCCAGGUAAGGAGUAACUCGCACUUUAGGACAAAAUCUAUCUUGAGUGAAAUUUCUUGCUUCUCUGCACACCAACCUGAGAACAAAUAGAUGGACAGCAACUGGCAUCUUCCUGGCACAUU